rnacentral:misc_RNA from 1 species
UCUCCGUAGGUGAACCUGCGGAGGGAUCAUUACAGAGUUCAUGCCCUAACGGGUAGAUCCCCCCCCCCCUGUUCUCAUCUCUUUGUUGCUUUGGCGGGCCGUCAGGCCUCGGCUUGGCUACCGGCCCGCGCUGGUAAGCGCCCGCCAGCGAACCCCAAAUCCUGAAUAUCAGUGUCGUCUGAGUACUAUAUAAUAGUUAAAACUUUCAACAACGGAUCUCUUGGUUCUG